UACGUAGGGUGCAAGCGUUGUCCGGAAUUAUUGGGCGUAAAGAGCUCGUAGGCGGUCUGUCGCGUCUGCUGUGAAAACUCAGGGCUUAACCCUGAGCUUGCAGUGGGUACGGGCAGACUAGAGUGCGGUAGGGGAGACUGGAAUUCCUGGUGUAGCGGUGAAAUGCGCAGAUAUCAGGAGGAACACCGGUGGGCGAAGGCG
rnacentral:rRNA from 1 species